GUGCCAGCAGCCGCGGUAAUACAGAGGGUGCAAGCGUUGUUCGGAAUUACUGGGCGUAAAGCGCGUGUAGGCGGCGGCGUAAGUCGGAUGUGAAAUCCCUUGGCUUAACCAAGGAAGUGCAUCCGAUACUGCAUCGCUUGAGUGCCGGAGGGGAUGGCGGAAUUCCCGGUGUAGAGGUGAAAUUCGUAGAUAUCGGGAGGAACACCUGUGGCGAAGGCGGCCAUCUGGACGGUAACUGACGCUGAGACGCGAAAGCGUGGGUAGCAAACAGGAUUAGAUACCCUGGUAGUCCACGCUGUAAACGAUGAGUGCUAGGCGUCGUGGGUAUUGACCCCCGCGGUGCCGAAGUUAACACGUUAAGCACUCCGCCUGGGGAGUACGGUCGCAAGAUUAAA
rnacentral:rRNA from 1 species